CUAUGCCUGAGCGGGGUAAAGCCAGAGGAAACUCUGGUGGAAGCCCGCAGCGAUACUGACGUGCAAAUCGUUCGUCUGACUUGGGUAUAGGGGCGAAAGACUAUUCGAGCCAUCUAGUAGCUGGUUCCCUCCGAAGUUUCCCUCAGGAUAGCUGGAGCUCGGACGCGAGUUCUAUCGGGUAAAGCCAAUGAUUAGAGGCAUUGGGGGCGCAACGCCCUCGACCUAUUCUCAAACUUUAAAUAGGUAGGACGUGUCGGCUGCUUUGUUGAGCCGUCACACGGAAUCGAGAGCUCCAAGUGGGCCAUU
rnacentral:rRNA from 1 species